GAGGGUAUAGCUCAAGUGGUAGAGUGCAUGCUUAGCAUGCAUGAGGUCCUGGGUUCAAUCCUCAGCACCUCCC
rnacentral:tRNA from 1 species